UUAAUUACACGAUGGAAUACACUACAUUAGGGUUAGUCAACCAUCACUAUAGAAAUAUUUUGAUAUUUUCAACCAAUUGCAAAAGUUGUGAUUCUUUAUAGUCCAAAGACCGCAAAUUUCUAUCCAUUAAGAUAAUAUUAUGGAUACACUAAAAAUGAAAUGCAUAAAAUUGCAGGGUAAGGGGACAGAUAAGAAUGGAAAGUCGAAACAGAGGGGUUCUGGAGUUGAAAAGCCUAAAUCUGUCAAUUUAUGAAACAGUUUUGGAGCAACUGAGGAAGGCUGGCAGCUAAAAAAGCAUGAAGAGUUAGUCGAGAAGAUGGUUUCCGGGGUAUUCGUCGCUCCUCGCCCUUUGUAGAAGUUACUUCUUCGUCCAGGACAUCAUUGAGCUGAACAAGGUAUUAAAUUGACCACUUGUUCACUGAACUGCUAAAUUUUUGAAUUAGAAUCCGUGAAUGGUUUGACUGAAGGAACCAAUACUCGCGGUGCAUAUUAGAAGUAUGUCCCUACCGGCCGAUACCAAAAAUUUCGAGGACAUACCGGAUAUUUUGUGAAAUCAAGUUUCAUGCAUUUUUAGUUAAAUUUCAGUGAGAACCAGAGGUAGGAAUGGAACUGUUGCUGGAAGGGCCAAAGAUAGAGCAGCUGCUCUUGCUCGAGCUGCUGAUGAGGCGCAAACCUCAGAGUUACGAGCUGGACGUCUUCCUUCAAUCGGUUCCAACCGGAAACAGAUGGCGGGGCAGCAGACGGUGAGGGCGUUCCGCGCACCUCGCCGCCGGACUAGUAGAGUAUCCACUGCUGCUGUGGAGGAGUAGGUGGUUCAGGUUGAGGUGGCGGAGGUUGAGGAGCCAGUGCCUGUUGUAUAGGAUCCAGUGCCUAGAGUUGAGGAGCCGGUGGCUGUGGUUGAGGAGGGGUUGCUGAGGAUCAGGAGCGGGUGGUGCAGGAGACAGACACCUCCACUGGUGCAUCUACGGAGCCAUCAAUACACACUAAUGGAGCUUUCCCCUGAGGACCUUCUGAAAAUUUUGUGUUGACAGAAUACGCUGACCAUGUCUCUUAUACGAUAUGGCAGGGUGAUGCAUGUAACAUUGCUUAAGUGCUUAAUUUUUAUUACGCAACUUGAUUUAUACUAAUAUGUUUUAAUUGUAUUUUUUUUGUUACAGGAGCGUCCAGUUCUGAAGGUCACUUCUCACGGGUCGAAAUUGAAGAUCUUCCCCGAGAGACUGAUGCUUAAGCAAGUGACGAGGAUAGUUCGGGACUUCCGCCUGAUGGACUUUGUUGGAUGUUCCCUGACGAUGCUCAACGCCCCCCUGUUAUCAGAUUUUGUUGAGAGGUGGCACCCGGAGACAUCAUCUUUCCAUCUUCUAUUUGGGAAGAUGACAGUGACUUUGGAUGAUGUGGAUUCCCUAUUUUACCUUUUGAUUAUUGGUACGUUUUUCACACCAGUUCAUAGGGACUAGGCGACGGCGGAGCGCAUGGUGGUAGAUGCUUUUAAGAUUGAUGAGGUGGUUGUCCUUAUUGAGUUUGGUGAGACUCGGGUCUUUCACUUAGGAUGUCUUGGUUGAGGAGGAUUUAUCAGCAGCUUACCGAUGCAGGGAGGUACCAGGCUGCCGCUAGGGCGUACAUGCUACAUCUGGUGGCAUGUAUUCUCUUUGCGGACAAGUCUGGAGUAUAUAUUGAUGUCUGCUAUCUUUCUCUAUUUAGCGACCUAGACACCCCAUGUUAGGCUUAGGGAUUGGCAGCAUUGACGAUGUUGUACAUGGCGCUUGAUGCUGCAUCUCGUCCUGAUACCAGACAGUUUGUUGGUUACUAGAGCUUGUUAUAGGUAUAAUUUUUACAUGGUUUUUUAUGUUUUAUUAUAAUUUACAUGAGCUAGAUGAUUUUUGUUUAUGCAGUGUUGGAUCUACGAGCUUGUUAUAGGUGGAAGGCCAAACAACCCAUUCAAGGAGGGUUGAUGGAGUAAAGGCGGAGGCUGGAUGCUCUGACCUUGGAUGAUGUCAUCUGGACACCGUAUACAACUCACCGCACUCAUCUUCCUUUUGAGGUAUCUUCCUUAUAUUCAGGGUAUGCUAGAUGGGAGAGCCAUGUGGCUAGACACUUUCCUGAGAGGUGUAUACGCCAGUAUGGUUAUAUACAGAGCAUCCCACGUCGGGUCCUAGAGGCUUCAGUUUGUGGCAUUGAUCGAUGGUUUCAGAGUCAUAAACUUAGCUCCCCCCGUGAGAUCAUGGAUACAGCCGUUACGGUUCAGCAGUCUGGACAGUGUCAGGAUGGAUACCUGGAGUGGUUCCUCAGUGUCUCACACCCUAGGGUCACAGCAUCUGAUGUUUUAGGGCCUUCACCUACCAGAGUUUCUUCCGAUCCACCACCACCUCCUCUAUCUCCCGCAAGUGACCAGGACAGCUGCCUGUAGUUCAUCGCUAUUCACUUAGAUAGCCUCAUGGGUUUGGUGAACCCUGAUGGUGAGGUUCACAGUAUUUUAGCUAGGUUGGUCGAUGUUUCCUGUGGAGGACCUAUGUAGAUUUAUUUUUUUAUAAUUGUAUUAUUUGUAUAUUUUGUAUGAACAUCUUUUUUAUUGCAUAAUAUUUUUUGCUUGUACAUGUUUCGCAUAGAUACAGAAAAUAACAUCAAUAACAAACAAACAUAGUUAACAAACAUCAAAUGACAAACAACAAACAUAAACAGUACUCUGAAAAAUGAAAAUUUAGGC